UUCACUUUAUAAGAUGUCAAAGCCUUGGUCAGCAAUAGUAACCAAUGAAAGAUUGCUGUUGUCCCUUGCUAAUCCUAGUAAAAUAUUUGUGUACUGUUGUACUCAUUGAAUUAUUUAUUUUUCUUAGAGACCACAAUAAAAAAAGAGAAAGAAGAAGAUGAAAUAGUAGUGGAGGAAGAGAUUAUUAGCACUGGAAAACCUACAGAGGGAAAGGCUAAAAAGGGAUUUUCCUGGUUCCGCAAUAUCAAAGAACGCAAGCUGUGGAACUUCUUUCAUUUUAAAAAACAUGACAAACAAGUAAAGAAUGUGCACAAGUGGGAAGAAAUUGAUCAAGAGGUAUUGGAUGAUUACUGUCCUUAUUCUACUGAAGCCCCUAAAACAUUGCCAACACAGUGGACAAAUAUUGAAGUUGGUAAUUGGUUAUGGAGCAUUGGAAUGGAGGAGUAUGUUGUAAAAUUUUAUUGUAAAGGAAUAAAUGGUGGAAAACUCCUUAUACUGGACAAUCGCUCGCUAAAAGUAAGUAUGCUAAUCUAGGUGAUAUAGAUGAAUGUUUACAAAAAUAUAAAUUGCCUAGAUUAACAUAUGAAGAAAUAGAAUUCUUAAAUAAUCCCAUAUCAGAAAAAGAAAUUGAACAAGCCAUCAAAGAUCUCCUUAAGAAAAACAUCCCCAGGGCCUGAUGAAUUAACAAGGGAAUUCUAUCAAACAUCAAAGAAAAGCUCAAAGUUCAUUUGGAGAAGAACAAAGGAUCAAGGAUAUCCAGGGAAAUAAUGAAAAAAAAAACACAAAGGAAGGUGGCCUUUGUAGUACCAGAUCUCAAACGAUGGUAGCCUUUGUAGUACCAGAUCUCAAACUAUACUAUAAAGCAGUGGUCAUCAAAACAAUUUGGUAAUGGCUAAGAGGCAGAACGGAGGAUCAGUGGAAUAGACUAGGGAUAAGUGACCUCAGCAAGACAGUCUAUGACAAGCCGAAACAUCAUAGCUUUUGGGACAAAAUGUAAAAUAAAUAAUUUUGAUUCUAUCAAAUUAAAAAAGUAUUGUACAAACAAAACCAAUGCAACCAAAAUUAGAAGGGAAGUAACAAAUUGGGAAACAAUCUUCAUAACAAAAUCUCUGACAAAGGUCUAAUUACUCAAAUUGACAAAGAAGUAAAUCAAUUGUCCAAAAAAAUCAAGCCAUUCUACAAUUAAUAAAUGAGCAAGGGACAUGAAUAGGCAAUUUUCAGUCAAAGGAAUCAAAACUAUUAAUAAGCACAUGAAACAGUGUUCUAAAUCUCUAAUAAUCAGAGAAAUGCAAAUCAAAACAACUCACCUCAUACCUAGAAGAUUGGCUAACAUGACAGCAAAAGAAAGUAAUGAAUGAUGGGGAGAGGGGGUGUGGAAAAGUUGGGAUAUUUGCAUUGCUGGUAGACUUGUGAAUUGAUCCAACCAUUCUGGAGGGCCAUUUGGAACUAUGCCCAAAAGGGGCUAAAAGACUGUCUGCCCAUCGAUCCAGACAUAACACUGCUGGGUUUGUACCUCAAAGAGAUAAUAAGGAAAAAGACAUGUACACGAAUAUUCGUAGCUGCACUCUUUUUGGUGGCAAAAAAUUGGAAAAUGAGGGGAUGCCCUUCAGUUGGGGAAUGGCUGAACAAAUUAUGGUAUAUGUUGGUGAUGGAAUUACUAUUGUGCUCAAAGGAAUAAUAAAAUAGAGGAAUUCCAUGGGAACUGGAACAGCCUCCAAGAAGUAAUGCAGAGUGAAAGGAGCAGAACCAGGAGAACAUUGUACACAGAGACUGAUACACUGUGGUACAAUCGAAUGUAAUGGAUUUUUCCAUUAGUGGCAAUUCAGUGAUCCUGAAGAACCCAGAGGGAUCUAUGAGAAAGAACACUAUUCACAUUCAGAAGAAAAACUGUAGGAGUAGAAACACCAAAGAAAAACAACUGCUUGAUUACAUGGGUCUAGGGGGAUAUGUUUGGGGAUGUAGACCAUAAAGGAACAUCCUAGUGCAAACAUCAACAGCAUGGAAACAGGUUAUGAUCAAGGACACAUGUAAUACCCAGUGGAAUUGCGCAUCAGCAAUGGGAAGGGUGGGAAGGGGGAGGGGAGGGAGGAAUAGUAUAUGAUUUUUGUAACCAAGGAUUAAUGUUUGAAAUUGACCAAAUUAAAAAACAAAUAAAAUGAAAUGAAAUGAAAAAA